rnacentral:antisense_RNA from 1 species
CAAAACUAAUAAUAAUUUUAAAAAAAGUACUAAAAAUAUGCGUGAGAUUAAAUUUAUUCAGUUUUGAUCGUCGAUAAUAACUUCUUCUCCGUUAUCCGAGAUAAUUUCCCUUAUUUGCUCGUGUCUAAUUCCAUAUCCUCUGAUUUUUUGAUUGCUGGUUGCAUGUCCCAUAUCCUGCUCAGAAAUAUGAUAUCUAGUGGUUCCAUUAUUGUUAACAAUGAGAUUCUUAAUAAUAAUCCUUGAGCCGUUCUUUGCCACAAUUCUAACUGAACCGUCUACAAAGAAUUUUCCACUGAUCACCACAUCUCCUUCUAAAUGCACAUAGGAUCUACUUGUAAUAAUAAUAGGACCAGCCUGAAUCCUUUGGAGAAGAUCAGAAUACUUAAUUGCGAAUGAAGGGUGCAAAACAACCAUUGCUCCAACUCUGACUGGAAUUCCGGCGAUCAUUUCGUGUUUGAUUAGAGAGUUCUUAUCAUCCUUUCCAGUGACUGGAUCCCUUCCACUCUCCUCAAUUCUACAAACUACACCCUUUUCAAUUGAUGCCAAUCUCAAAUAUUGUGAGGCAGCUGCAUAGAAGUCGCCUUCUGUUAUAGAGGCGGUAUCUAUGGAGACUCCUGCACUAUGUUUUGCUCUUCCCUCGGCCAAGCUAUUCUUGCAAGCAGAGAAUGUAGCCCAUCUCUGCAUUUGCACGCAUCCAACCUUGUAAUCAGCCUCAAAUAAGAGUGGAAUAUCUUGCAUCAUACAUUCUAAACGAGUUGGGCUUUUGAAUGCUGUUUUAGUUGAGUCCAAAUACUUAGGGUUCACAAAUUCAGGUACAACUCCCCCAGUCUUUUCCAAGGUCUUCAUAUAGUAAUCCAUUGAAAUGAACAAGACGUUCGAAUUUCCAGGGAAAGGAGAGUAUCCUGUCUUUUCAUCAGCAAAAUCUGAUCCUAAACCGCAGCUCUUGAGUAAAGGAGUGAGCUGGUUAUAUUCUGUAUUAAUAGUAAUUUUCUUUCCAUCUGGAUAUCUGAGCUUACACAAAGCGCCAACUGCCUCGCAUGGAAUACGGGGAAUUGUCAAACUAUUCAUCACGAAUGAAUUCAUUGAUGUAACUCCCAAUACUGGAAGUACUGAAUUAAAAACUAAAGCAUUUGUAUCUUGGAUGAAAACCAAAAAUCUUACUCCUUUCUCAAAAAGAUCCUUCAAAAGUCCUGAAGCAUGGAGCAAAGUGUGAAUAUCUCCGUGGCCAUGAGGCUUUGUUAAGAUUGAGUAUUUGUCUUCAGGAUCCAAUGCAAUCUUUGCAUCAGAAUCUAUCAAAGCAGGGACCUUGAGUUGUUUUACUAUAUACACCUGGUCCUCUCUCAAGCCAAAAUGAUCAUUUUCUUCCAAAAACUUUCUAGUCAUACUGUCAGUAUCAUCAGAUGUCAUGAUAAGCAAAGGAAUUACAAUAUCUUCUCCGAAAGCCUCCUUCAACCUUCUCUGAUACUCCCUGAUAUAGUUUGUGUAUAACUGGAAAAAUGUGAUGUUGGAAGCCAUUGACAGCUCGAUUCCUAUUUUUAUUCCCUCAAAUGCAAGUCUUUCACCCAAACCGCCAGCUACCAAAACAAAGGCAACAUUUUUUAGGACAGAAAAGCCGUGCUCCUCAUAUUUUUUAAAGUCUUCAGUACCAACAUCUAAGUUAACUACCUCUGGAACCUCAGGAUAACACCCUUCUCUUGGAUUAACACCGUCCUUUGAGUCUUUCAAUAACUUCUUAGCUCUGUUAAUAUAUCCAAGUAACCCACCACCCACACACGAAGUUUCCAAAGUCAUUAACUGAGAAAUUAGUCUAUUUACAUUAUCAGAAUCGCCAGACUCCAACAAAUUUAAAAUGUGGUCCUGACCACCCUUAACAAGACUUUCCUUUAAACUUUCCAAGUCCAAUUUCUUUCCUGAGUUGCUUGGACUUCUUAAAGAUAUUGUAACAACCAUCGAAAAAUAAAAGGUGAAAAAAUAUAAAAUAUAUAAGAAACAGAAUUUCAAAAACGAUUUAUUACGGAACAUUUUUGCAAUGUUGAAGAUACCUAAAAACAAAAAAGUACCCACAGUAUUUGGCGCCCAAACUUAUGUACCCCUCAUUUUAAUCAUUGAAAUUUUUAAUCGCUCGCAUCUAAUAGAUAUUAAUUAAACAGAAGGUCGAAAUUGCAUUCCCUGUUUAUUAUAUUUUGUUGACUUCUUAUUAUUUCGACUCAAUACUUUAAUUCUCUUGAUUUGGAGGUAGGACGGA